rnacentral:rRNA from 1 species
AGCAGCCGCGGUAAUUCCAGCUCCAAUAGCGUAUAUUAAAGUUGUUGCAGUUAAAAAGCUCGUAGUUGAAUUUCGGGAUCAAUAUGUUGGUCGUGCCUCGGUACGUACUAGCUUAUUGGUUUCUCCUUUCUGAAGAACCAUGAUGUCAUUUAUUUGGUGUCGUGGGGAAUCAGGACUGUUACUUUAGAAAAAAUUAGAGUGUUUAAAGCAGGCUCACGCUUGAAUACAUUAGCAUGGAAUAAUGAAAUAGGACGUUUGAUUCUAUUUUGUUGGUUUCUAGGAUCGACGUAAUGAUUAAUAGGGAUAGUUGGGGGCAUUAGUAUUCAAUUGUCAGAGGUGAAAUUCUUGGUAUUUAUUAGAAGACUAACUACUGCGAAGCAUUUGCCAAGGAUGUUUUCAUUAAUCAAGAACGAAAGUUAGGGAUCGAAGACGAUCAGAUACCGUCGUAGUCUUAACCAUAAACUAUACGCCGACGUAGGG